AUUGAACGCUGGCGGCAGGCCUAACACAUGCAAGUCGAGCGAGCGGCGGACGGGUGAGUAAUGUAUGGGGACUGCCCGUUAGAGGGGGAUAACUACUGGAAACGGUGGCUAAUACCGCAUACUAUCGGAUAACCCAUAUGGGAUUAGCUAGUAGGGGGGGUAAAGGCUCACCUAGGCGACGAUUUCUAGCUGGUCUGAGAGGAUGAGCAGCCACAAUUGGACGGGGACACGGCCCAGACACCUACGGAGGCAGCAGUGGGGAAUAUUGCACAAUGGGAGCAAACCUGAUGCAGCCAUGCCGAGUGUAUGAAGAAGGCGUUAGGGUUGUAAAGUACUUUCAGCGGGGAGGCGUUACACGCAGAAGAAGCACCGGCUAACUCCGUGCCAGCAGCCGCGGUAAUUC
rnacentral:rRNA from 1 species